CAGGGCCAGCAAGAUGGUGCCACAGACCCUGUUCCUCAUGUCCCUGUUGCUCUGGGCCUCUGGUGCCAGUGGGGACAUCAUAAUGACCCAGUCUCCAGCUUCCCUGGCUGCAUCUCCAGGAGAAACAGUGACCAUCAAGUGCAAGGCCAGCCAGAGUCUUUCUGACAGCAGCUACGAGGUGGACCUCUUAGCCUGGCACCAGCAGAAACCAGGACAGGCUCCUAAGCUGCUCAUCUACUUGGCAUCUAACCGGGAUUCUGGGGUCCCUGACCGGUUCAGUGGCAGUGGGUCUGGGACAGACUUCACUCUCACCAUCAGCAACUUCCAGGCUGAAGAUGCCGCACUUUAUUAUUGUCAGCAGGGUAAAGAGCGACCUCCCACAGUGCUUCAGCCUCGAACAAAAACCUCCUCCCAAGGGCUACAGGCCAGUGAGUCUUCACUUCACCAGCUGCUUCCUUUCUGCUCAGCCCUGAACAUGCAUGCUUCCUCUCUCUGCCCCAAAACCUGCAUCUCCUAAUUCCUUGGAGUAUUUGCAGGUUCCAGGAGAAAAUGAAGGGAUGUGGCUUCUUCUGGAUCUCCUUUCCUGAUAAAUUAAAGAAAAAAAAUGCUCUAAAAAUGUUUUGUAAGCUUUGUCAGGGGUUUUCAUAUCACAGGAACCUCCAUGUUUCAUAUGGAUAGAUCAUGUGAUUGAUUUCGGAAGGGUUCACUGUGCUUUAUACCCUGAAAGAUCAUUUCUCUCUUCCCUGUGCCUUCCUGACUCUGGAACAUUCCCAUUUUAUUUCCUUGUUUUCCUGGACUUUUUUCCUUUCUGUGCCAUUACCCCUCAUUACUCUGGACCUAACCCAAUAUUAAACCUGGACCCUUCAUAUUUAAAAUCUCCCUCACAGAAAGUAGAAUUUCUCUCUUCCGUUUUCCUUCCAUGGAUCCUGUUUUCCAGCCAAGUCUUCCUGGCCAACAUCAAUGAAGGCAUUUUCAUGCUCUAAGCUCCCAUUUUACUGCCUUUUUUCCUCUCUCCAUGUCUUUCAGGGGCACUCAUUCUUUUAAAGACCAGACUCUAACUCAUUAAUCCUAUCACUCUAGAAACAUGUGAUAGCUUUCCCAUGUUCUUUUUCAUUAGUUGUCAAUUCCUCUUUGCAUUAGUCCCUUGGGUGACCAAGUUUAAUUUAGUGACUGAAGGAAAUCAUGGUUCUUUCUGUUUGUUAGUUGCCAUCUUGUGAGUCCAUGACUCAUGAGAAUUCAAUGCAUAAUAUUAUCUGAUUGUUGUGAUCCAUAAAGUUUUCCCUGGAUGAUUUCCCAGAAGUAGGUCACCAGGCCUUUCUUUCUAGUCUG